UGACGACAACCGCAGGCGCUGGCGGGGGGCCGCCAAGGGCGGAAAAGCGUUGCUGGAAAAGCAUUUUCAUCGAGCCACUGCCAAGGAAAUGAAUAAUAAACACGGGCACUGUGGAGAAGACCGAAUAUGUGAAAUUCCAUUAGUGGGUACAUAUCGAUAUGAGCAGCAUUGCCCCCACUCUUGGGGGAAGCCCAAGAACAUAUCGAUUCGCAGGGUUUCCCUGGCUACAGGGCCUCCUCGUCCCAUAUCAUUACACAUUCCAAAAAAGAAUACUAAAGAUUGCCUUCUAUUCAUUCCUAUUCAGGGCAGAAAACGAAAGCCAAAACGAAGUGAAUGCUGGGAAAGAGGCUAAAACAGAGAGAGAGAGAGAACGAAUCGAGGACGAUGAGCGAGGAAACCGCUGAUGAAGACGAUGACCAUUCAGCAGCAGGAGCAUCAUCAAGGAAUCGGAGGCAUCAUCAAAAACGCGAUGGACCAACAUCAGGAGCAGCAGCGGCAUUUUGCCGAGGCUUACAUCUGACGGGGGACGUGGCCCCGAUGCGGCAGCGGUGCCGGUGCAGGGGCAGGGGCAAUGCCAAAGGGGAAUCACGGGCGCAUGGUCAUCAUCAAGGCGAUCGCUCUCUGCCAGCGUCGCUGUCGUGGUCUCAAAAUAAUAAGAUGACAUCCAACACUUCUUGUGCCGAGGCAGAGCCUCACAGGCAAGGGGCACCGCAGUCUCGGCAUUGGCCUGGACGGCCCUCCCCUAGCCUUACCCCCAUAUCUGUGUGCUGUUCCCCUUGCAACCCCCUGCCAAGUUGCCGCCGCCACCGCCGCCGCUGCCGCUGCUGCUGCUGCCAGCCGCAGUCCGUUCCAAAUAUUUUUAUAUAUAAAAAAAAGAAUCCCAUUUUUUUCCUCGCAUAAUAAAACUUUUUCUGCAUGCUUUUCAUUUCCUUCGAGAUACCAGAGAGGCACCAACAACAACGUCAGCGGGAGGGGCAGCCACAGCAACAGCAGCGACGCAGACAGCAGCACUUGGCUGCCACACAAAGGAAGAUCACCUCUGACGACGACGACGACGACGCAAGGACUUGUCUGCAUUGAAAUGAAUGUAGGUAGAGGUACGAGUACUCGUACUCGUACUCGUACUCGUACUCGUCCUCAACCCCUUCCAAGUACCUGAACCUCUCCCCGACUCUCGAGCGGAGGAUGGACAAUGUCCAGGGGUCCGAAACUUAUUGAGCUCCGCUGAUAUUUCAGUGCCUCUUCUUACCCCUCUCGCUUUUUGUCGCUGGUGGUUGCUCGGCAACGGGAGCUCUGUGGAGACGAGACCGCCGAUAACUCGAGAAAGUUUAGAAAUCAUUUAGGGGGUUAAGUACGAUUAUGGGCCGUCUCUGGCCCUCUUAAGACCAGCCCAAGAGCCCUUAAUCGACUCUGUCCUCCACUAACCCAUUUAAGUGCUGGUCAGGCUGAAAAUAGUUGUAGAGAAGCUCCUUGUUUACCCAAAAUCUUAUAGAACGGAGUCGGAGACAGAGACUGUCGGCCACAGGAAGUGGAUGGCUAGCAAGGACGAUGCCCAGCAGGGCUGGAAGAAGGAAACUCAAUGCGACAUUUGCAUUUUUAAUGCAUACCCACAUGCGAGUAUAAAACGUUGUUUUUUAUGAGUUGAUUUUGAUUUGCGUACUUCUUCUUUAUUUAAUUUUUUUCGGACUGGUUCGUAUCGUCUAAUUUUUUUUCGUCGGUGGUUCCUUCUUUUUUUUUUGUUUUUUUUUGGUUUUUACCAAAAGAAAGGCGGUCGCUUGACCAUCUCCUGCUCCUUCCUUUUUGGGCAUUGUCUGUACGGCGGUGUCACCUUCGAGCAACAGCCAGAGGAGCGCUGACCACGCAGACAAGACAACACAAGGCACACACAGGCGCACAGGCACACAAAAAGCUAAGCAGAAAAGUACACAGAAGAAGGAGCCAGUAUCCUUUUGUGAUAUAUGAGUAAGUUGUACCUGAAGGAUGCGCUGAGCCAUUGAGCACACACACACACACACACACACACAUACAGGGAGAGGACGAUCCAGGCAAGCUGCACCACCACCAGCACUACGGUCAUCAUCUUGGCUUGGCUUGGAGUUUAUCAUUUGAUAUCGAGCACAGCGUGAUUAUAUUGUGGAUGAUAUAAAGUGGGUAUGGGUAUGGGUAUGGGUAUGGGUAUGAGGAUGAGCAUGAUGACCGCACCCGUGGCCUGGACACCCUAUGUGCACCCCUCGAGACAGAGACAG